rnacentral:sRNA from 1 species
AGAGAGAGAGGACACAAUAGUGCCAUGGAACAUGUGGUUGUUGGCCUCGUUCUCAUCUUCUCCAAGUAGAAGGUUAUGUAUGUGGCUUAAUGUACAGCUAAGGGAAGAAAUUCCCUGAGUCUUUGACUGUGAUAUGGGAGACUGGAAUACUACUAUGAACAACCUACCGGUCUGAUGCUGAGCAGAUCAUAACGGCUUUGUUCUACCCAUCUUCACACAGGUUCCUGCGCAUGCCCAACUCACCGUGCUGCUGGGCGCAUAGAGAGAAUACAUCCAUCCCUUUGCAUUUCUCAUUGACUUCCUACCUUCUGCUAUGACAGCUAUCGCGACCAAAAUCGUAGGUUAAGCCUUGAAAGCAAGACUAUUCAACCCAAGUAUACAUGGGCUGUAUAUCUAAGUUUUCUUUUGCCACAUUUUUAAAUGUUAAAAAAAAACAUAGAAGCUAAUUCCUAACAGCUCAUUUACUAUAACAUAAUCAAAUAGUAUUACUUUGAUAUUCAGUCAAUAUGUACACAAUGUAUCAACGUAGUUAUUUUUAUAUUUGCCUUCAAAACGUGGUAUUUUAUACUCAAAGGACAUCUCAGCAUGGACUUUAUAUAUUUCACAAGCUUGGUAGCCACGUGUGACCAGCGGCUUUACAACCCCCACCCUCACCCCACUCUCCACUGUUGCCCUCUGCCCUGUGUGAUUGCCAAAAGCAAUGCUGUCACCUUCUGGGAAGAUCUCAGAGACUCACAUGCAAUUAAAAAUGGCCGAAAGUCAUGAGGUGGGCUCAGGGUUCCUUCUGUGUCACCUCUAACAUUCCUGCUUGAUUUAUGCUGCCGGGAUUUUUUUUUUUUUUAAAGUAUACUCGUUUGUUCUCCUGCUCCAGAGGUGACCUUACAAUGGAGAUCAGCACAGUUUCUCGUAUCUGUGAGUCCAAUAUGACCCCAGGGAUCCUUUAAGUGAGGCAAAGAGGCAGAAAAUGAAGACUUCUUAAUUUGAGGAUGGAGGUAAAUGCCCAGAGACAACGAAAGAGCGGGCUGCUGAGCCAGAAAAGGGCAAGACGGACAAUCCUCGGGGUCUCUGUGAGGAAAGAAACUGAGCCGACGCCUGGACACCACUCCUGUGAGCCUCAUCUCCAACCUCAAACCUCCAGUCCUGUAAAGAAAAAGGCCCCCACAAACUUCAUGGUCAUUUUGCAGCAGACCCGUGUUGUUUUCCACAGCCGAUGCUGGAAGGCCAGCACUUCCUGUGUUAGCCCUACUGUGCUAUUCUAGCCCAUCAGCAGAAACAAGGUAUUAGGCUACCUCCUAUUUUAACAGGGUGCUCUUGAAAUUCAGAUGUCUCUCCUGUGCAGAGAGGGCUACAGAUGUCAAGGCCUGCCUCCUGGCUGAGAGGAAGGGGUCGCUCCGCCGGGGAAGCUCACACACACUGGUCUUAUCUACUUAGAGUUCAGGAGUUCUCAAUGGUAAUGGACACUCAGUCUCUCUAGAUAUCUUCACUGCACUGAAAGUACGACAUCCAAUCGGAACCUCGAACUUAGCCAUUCACCUUCCCCCCCUGAAAGCUCGGUAUCUCAGCCCCAGACAGCACAAGUUACACUUUAUUCUAAAAUCCCACCACAGAUUCUACCUAAACACUCACAUUUUCACAAAACUCACCCUCACUUUUUUUUUCCUCUGACACAACUCUAUUAGUGUUACACAUGGAACUUCAUGUUUUCGUAUCACUUCCCCUAAUUACCACCUCCUCAAGCUGCCGUGAAAUCACCAGUAACACAAGGGGCGGACUUCACUGCGGACUCUGCGAUUUUCAGUACAGGGCAGUGAGUUUAUUGACACAUCUUGCUCUUUUCUUCUCUCCUGCUACAUGAGCAGCUUGCAGUUCUCCCUCAUACAUGCCCACACUCCAGUCUCAGAGCUUCCCGCACUGGUGUAAACCUCUCGAUGACUGUUUUCUAAUCUGUGCUCUAUUCACAAGUGUCAUGCCUUAAUCUCAGGAACUGUGCUCACCCACUUAAUUCCUCGUGAUCUGGACUUGGGGCACACUCUGCCCACCACUUGUUAGUAUUUAUCAAUGCUGUGCAAGGCCUCAGCCACCUCCAGCCACUGACCAGUAUGCUGCUUUGCCGUUCACAGUGCAGUCGGGAGAUUACAGGAUAACCAGGAAGUGGUGCAGAGCUCUGAAAAAGGAAUGGAUCCUGUGCCAUUAGAAUUCAAGUAUGAGAAAGAGGUCACUCCCAACUUAAGAAAGCUCUUGAGACCAGGGGGUGGAAAAAGUAAGUGAGUACGGGUGUGGCCAUUGUUGUGGGCAGAAGAGGCCUCGGUAGCUAAAGAGUUGGGAGGGUGAUAACACUCUAUCUGUGGAGAAGAAUGAAGUCAGCUUGAGGUAGAGGACGAACAGAUAAGCCUCAGUGUAGGUGGGGCAAGACCUUGGAAGGUUGUAAAGUCAGCAAACAGGGUUUGGCCUUUUUUUUUUUUCUUUCUGUUUCUUUAGAGGAACUCAUAUUAAUACUCGCAUUUCUGUCGUUCCUUUCUUCUCCCCUUUUAGCUAUGAUCCAUGGCAGUCUUGGAAGAUUGGUGAACAUAGACAAAAUUAAUAUACUUUUUAAUGUAUCAUAACCACUAAAUGAAAUGGAAGCGA